rnacentral:rRNA from 1 species
UAGGGAAUCUUCCACAAUGGACGCAAGUCUGAUGGAGCAACGCCGCGUGAGUGAAGAAGGUUUUCGGAUCGUAAAGCUCUGUUGUUGGUGAAGAAGGAUAGAGGCAGUAACUGGUCUUUAUUUGACGGUAAUCAACCAGAAAGUCACGGCUAACUACGUGCCAGCAGCCGCGGUAAUACGUAGGUGGCAAGCGUUGUCCGGAUUUAUUGGGCGUAAAGCGAGCGCAGGCGGAAUGAUAAGUCUGAUGUGAAAGCCCACGGCUCAACCGUGGAACUGCAUCGGAAACUGUCAUUCUUGAGUGCAGAAGAGGAGAGUGGAACUCCAUGUGUAGCGGUGGAAUGCGUAGAUAUAUGGAAGAACACCAGUGGCGAAGGCGGCUCUCUGGUCUGCAACUGGCGCUGAGGCUCGAAAGCAUGGGUAGCGAACAGGAUUAGAUACCCUGGUAGUCCAUGCCGUAAACGAUGAGCGCUAGGUGUUGGGGACUUUCCGGUUCUCAGUGCCGCAGCAAACGCAUUAAGCGCUCCGCCUGGGGAGUACGACCGCAAGGUUGAAA